rnacentral:rRNA from 1 species
UGACCAGACUCCUACGGGAGGCAGCAGUGGGGGAUAUUGCACAAUGGGGGAAACCCUGAUGCAGCGACGCCGCGUGAGUGAAGAAGUAUUUCGGUAUGUAAAGCUCUAUCAGCAGGGACGAAAAUGACGGUACCUGAGUAAGAAGCCCCGGCUAACUACGUGCCAGCAGCCGCGGUAAUACGUAGGGGGCAAGCGUUAUCCGGAUUUACUGGGGGUAAAGGGAGCGUAGACGGUUAUGCAAGUCUGGAGUGAAAAGCGGGGGCUCAACCCCCGGACUGCUCUGGAAACUGUAGAACUAAAGUGCAGGAGGGGUAAGUGGAAUUCCUAGUGUAGCGGUGAAAUGCGUAGAUAUUAGGAGGAACACCAGUGGCGAAGGCGGCUUACUGGACUGUAACUGACGUUGAGGCUCGAAAGCGUGGGGAGCAAACAGGAUUAGAUACCCGCGUACC